rnacentral:lncRNA from 1 species
GAGCAAAGGGAGCAUGAGUAAAAGCAAGAGAAUAAGAGGUAAAAGAUCGAGGAGGGGCAAGUAGCUCCUUUUAUAGUGGGCUGUGCCAUCCUGGAUGUUGCUAGGUAACUGUGGGGAGGAGCAUACCUGGCUAUUGCCCUGUAACCAUGGGGGUGGAGUCCAGACAAUACCUGGAGCUUGGGGCAUUGCCUAAGUGACUGAUGGCCACACACCUCUCUGCAGGGGGCUGUGGGAUGCUGUAGCUGCUACUGGAGCCUGGGGCCCAGGAGGCAUGGCUGAACUCCCAUUGUCCCAUGAAGGCGGAAGUCACCACCCACCAAGUGUCCUGGGUUCCAGGCCUGUGCUCCAUCAGGAACCAGGCUGCCUCUGCACAGUUCACGGCCCCACAGUUGUAGUGUUUAGUGCCCUUACGGUAGAACACUAGAGGAAGUUUUCUAAGUGCUGAUUUAGAAAUAUAUUGUUAGGGGCAAAGUUGUAAGCCAUUGAGCGUAAUCCUACUGUAGUCAAACACUAGAAGGCAUGCAUGUGAACAAGCAUUUGGAAGCAAAGGCCCUACGCUGUCUAGAGAGGCUAGGAGGGAGGAAAGUUUUCAAUGGCUAAUUUAUGUUUUCUUCUGCUGUUUGAAUUUAAGAAUAAAAAACAUGGAAUAGGGAUAGAAAGAUGGAUAAGUGAUUAAAAACACUAACUUUUUUAGAAGACCCAGGUUCAAUUCCCAGUACCCACAUAGCAACUCAAAAUUGUCUUGUAACUCCAGUCCCAGGGUUUCUCUGUAGCCUUCCUUGGCUGUCCUGGAAUUCACUUUGUAGACCAGGCUAGCCUCAAACUCAGAAAUUUGCCUGCCUCUGCCUUCCAAGUGCUAGGAAUAAAGGUGUGUGCCACCACUCCCGGCCUUUAUUCAUUUUCUUAAAAAUGUGUAUGACUGUUUUACCUGCAUGUAUGUAUGUAUGUACAUAUAUGUACCGUGUACAUACAUGGUCAAAAGAGAGCAUUGGAUUUCAUUGAACUGUAGUUAGGUAUGGUUAGAACCCAUCAUAUAUGUGCUAGGAAUUGAGUUUGGGUCCUUUACAAGUUCAAGUGUGAGUUUGGGUCCUUUACAAGUUCAAGUGCUUUAAGCUGCUCUCCAGCCCCCCUAAAUUUCCAUUGUUUAUGAUACAUGUCUGCACCUCUCUGCAGGUGUCAGCAGUUUCACACCUGCAGGGUCUGAUGGUUGGGGGAGAUGGAGACCUAGAGUCUGAGGCAUGAUGACAUUGGAAGAAUGUGUUGAGUGAGAACUGGAGAUGGAACACCCUCUUCUUGCCAAGAGCCAACCCCCUCAUGGUUGUCCAUAAACCAUCAUUCCUUUGUCCACAAGAGGGUGCACUAGGACCACUCUGCCACUAAGAGCCUGGAUGGAGGUGCAGCAUGGUUCUGCUGUACCUGUCUAUGGCUGGUGUCCUUUAGGGUUCUGUCCUGGGCUCUUCUGUCACUGAGUCCACAGUUAGCCUCCCAGAUUAGGUAUAGGGUUUAGUGUUUCCUGUUUGUUUCUUUCUACUCUUUUCCCUCUGUGUCCCAUAUUCCAAGCAUAGGAAGAAGACCAAGGACAUUCUCUGAUAUCAUUCUCUGUCCUGAAGCCUGGUACAGGAUGCUCUGACCGUGACUAAUACACUGUCUGCAUUUACUUGCAUCUAGAUCAUCUGGCAGGUGUCAGACUUGGAGCAGCAGCCAUUGCAGUGUACUAGUUUACGAGCUCUUAAGAUGUCUUGGGGGUUUCAAAUAGGACCUUAAGGUUCCCCAGGGGCCGAGGCCUUGCUUUUCAGUCUCCUAGAAAUAUACCCUUCAUGAGCAAUUCACCCUUGGUGGUUCUCCCCUUGCUGGAUCUACCCAGAACUCAUCCAUAGUAUAGACUCUCUUCAGUUCCCUUUGGAACUCUAAGAAGGACACUUAGGCAUGUGUGUGGCAUAUCCAUAUGUGUAAGUGACUCUGAGAGAACUAAGCAUGGUACUAAACUCCACGUAAGAAAUGUUGGCUCUGGUUACUCUUUUUUUUUUUUUUCCGAGAAGGUUUCUCUGUGUAGCCCUGGCUGUCCUGGAACUCACUUUGUAGACCAGGCUGGCCUCGAACUCAGAAAUCCAACUGCCUCUGCCUCCUGAGUGCUGGGACUAAAGGCGUGCGCCACAACACCCAGCCACCAAUGGUCACUGUUAAAUUUGCAAUGAAUAGUUUGAUUCAUAAUUUGAUAAUUACUGCUGUCUGAAUAAACAGAAACAACAAACACCCUCAAGUGACACCUCUAAGUGAUUUAAUACAAUGCCUGUGCUCUUUAAUCUUUACUAUGCUCCCUUUAUUUUUAUAUUCUGAUAGUGUUUUAUUCUGAAUAAAAACAUUAGCCCCAGCUU